rnacentral:rRNA from 1 species
AACGAACGCUGGCGGCAGGCUUAACACAUGCAAGUCGAGCGCCCCGCAAGGGGAGCGGCAGACGGGUGAGUAACGCGUGGGAAUCUACCCAUCUCUACGGAAUAACGCAUGGAAACGUGUGCUAAUACCGUAUACGUCCUUCGGGAGAAAGAUUUAUCGGAGAUAGAUGAGCCCGCGUUGGAUUAGCUAGUUGGUGGGGUAAAGGCCUACCAAGGCGACGAUCCAUAGCUGGUCUGAGAGGAUGAUCAGCCACACUGGGACUGAGACACGGCCCAGACUCCUACGGGAGGCAGCAGUGGGGAAUAUUGGACAAUGGGCGCAAGCCUGAUCCAGCCAUGCCGCGUGAGUGAUGAAGGCCCUAGGGUUGUAAAGCUCUUUCACCGGUGAAGAUAACGACGGUAACCGGAGAAGAAGCCCCGGCUAACUUCGUGCCAGCCGCCGCCGUAAUAC